rnacentral:tRNA from 1 species
GGGCCGUUAGCUCAACUGGUAGAGCAACUGACUCUUAAUCAGUAGGUCCCGGGUUCGAGUCCCUGACGGCCCACCA